rnacentral:rRNA from 1 species
UGGGGAAUAUUGCACAAUGGAGGGAACUCUGAUGCAGCGACGCCGCGUGAACGAAGAAGGCUUUCGAGUCGUAAAGUUCUUUUAUAUGGGAAGAUAAUGACGGUACCAUAAGAAAAAGCCCCGGCUAACUACGUGCCAGCAGCCGCGGUAAUACGUAGGGGGCUAGCGUUGUCCGGAAUCACUGGGCGUAAAGGGUUCGCAGGCGGAAAUGCAAGUCAGAUGUAAAAGGCAGUAGCUUAACUACUGUAAGCAUUUGAAACUGCAUAUCUUGAGAAGAGUAGAGGUAAGUGGAAUUUUUAGUGUAGCGGUGAAAUGCGUAGAUAUUAAAAAGAAUACCGGUGGCGAAGGCGACUUACUGAGCUCAUUCUGACGCUGAGGAACGAAAGCGUGGGUAGCAAACAGG